UGAAAAUAUGAAUAUAAACCGUAGACAGUAGGCACCCUCAAAGGGUUUAAAUGAUCCUACCGAGGUUGAAACUAUAGAUUUCGGGUUGGACGGAAAUUAUAGGACCUCUCUAUGUCUACGGUAGAGAGGUUCUGUUAUUUUUAAC
rfam:Thermotalea metallivorans strain B2-1 AN619_contig000053, whole genome shotgun sequence.